rnacentral:rRNA from 1 species
UGGGAGCUUGCUCCCAGAGGUUAGCGGCGAACGGGUGAGUAACACGUGGGCAACCUGCCCUGUAGACUGGGAUAACAUCGAGAAAUCGGUGCUAAUACCGGAUAAUAAUAGGAACUGCAUAGUUCCCAUUUAAAAGAUGGCUCCGGCUAUCACUACAGGAUGGGCCCGCGACGCAUUAGCUAGUUGGUAAGGUAACGGCUUACCAAGGCGACGAUGCGUAGCCGACCUGAGAGGGUGAUCGGCCACACUGGGACUGAGACACGGCCCAGACUCCUACGGGAGGCAGCAGUAGGGAAUCUUCCGCAAUGGACGAAAGUCUGACGGAGCAACGCCGCGUGAGUGAUGAAGGGUUUCGGCUCGUAAAGCUCUGUUGUUAGGGAAGAACAAGUGCCGUUCAAAUAGGGCGGCACCUUGACGGUACCUAACCAGAAAGCCACGGCUAACUACGUGCCAGCAGCCGCGGUAAUACGUAGGUGGCAAGCGUUGUCCGGAAUUAUUGGGCGUAAAGCGCGCGCAGGCGGUCUUUUAAGUCUGAUGUGAAAUCUCGGGGCUCAACCCCGAGCGGUCAUUGGAAACUGGGAGACUUGAGUACAGAAGAGGAGAGUGGAAUUCCACGUGUAGCGGUGAAAUGCGUAGAUAUGUGGAGGAACACCAGUGGCGAAGGCGACUCUCUGGUCUGUAACUGACGCUGAGGCGCGAAAGCGUGGGGAGCAAACAGGAUUAGAUACCCUGGUAGUCCACGCCGUAAACGAUGAGUGCUAGGUGUUAGGGGUUUCGAUGCCCUUAGUGCCGAAGUUAACACAUUAAGCACUCCGCCUGGGGAGUACGACCGCAAGGUUGAAACUCAAAGGAAUUGACGGGGGGCCCCGCACAAGCAGUGGAGCAUGUGGUUUAAUUCGAAGCAACGCGAGAACCUUACCAGGUCUUGACAUCCUUUAUGACCUCCC